AGGCCGUUAACUCAGGAGGUAGCGUAGCUGCCUUUUAAGCAGAGAGUCGUGGGUUCGAGUCCCGCACAGCCUA
rnacentral:tRNA from 1 species